UACGUAGGCAGCAAGCGUUGUUCGGAAUUACUGGGCGUAAAGAGUGUGUAGGCGGUGCUCCAAGUCUGGUGUGAAAUCUCCCGGCUUAACUGGGAGGGUGCAUUAGAAACUGGAAUGCUAGAGGAUGGGAGAGGUAAGCGGAAUUCCUGGUGUAGCGGUGAAAUGCGUAGAUAUCAGGAGGAACACCUGUGGCGAAAGCGGCGCACUGGACCACAACUGACGCUGAGGCGCGAAAGCUAGGGGAGCAAACAGG
rnacentral:rRNA from 1 species